rnacentral:lncRNA from 1 species
CCCCAGUCUAUUCUGCCUCCUGGAACAUGCAUGAUUCAUGAACGUUAGCUCUGCUCGGAAGGGUAAAGGAUGGCUUUCUGGGUAAUGGACACUGAAAGUGGAAAGGCAGGGUGUGGACCCUAGAAAAACAAAACUGAACAUGAACAAGCAAAAUCUUCAAAGGACAAAAAGGAGGAGAGGAGACAAGCUGCGUGGAAGAGUCUUGGAAAAGUCAACAGUAGUUGAAAGUUGACUUAGGUCAUGGGAGUCCUGGCACGAAUUCCAUGCUCCAGCCCAGGAGAGUCUGAGCCGUCCGUAUUGUGGCUAUUAUGGAAGGAAAUUAGAGGCAGUAUCCAAGUCCUCCCAUGGCCUUCUUAGGAUCUUCCAGCAAGCAGG